rnacentral:tRNA from 1 species
GGAGGUACAGUUCAGUGGUAGAGCAUGUAAUUGGCAUACACGAGGUCCUGGGUUCAAUGCCCAGUGCCUCUG